GAUGAACGCUAGCGGCAGGCUUAACACAUGCAAGUCGAGGGGUAUAGUUCUUCGGAACUAGAGACCGGCGCACGGGUGCGUAACGCGUAUGCAAUCUACCUUUUACAGGGGGAUAGCCCAGAGAAAUUUGGAUUAAUACCCCAUAGUAUGUUAGAGUGGCAUCAUUUUAACAUUAAAGUUCCAACGGUAAAAGAUGAGCAUGCGUCCCAUUAGCUAGAUGGUAAGGUAACGGCUUACCAUGGCGACGAUGGGUAGGGGUCCUGAGAGGGAGAUCCCCCACACUGGUACUGGGACACGGACCAGACUCCUACGGGAGGCAGCAGUGAGGAAUAUUGGACAAUGGGCGCAAGCCUGAUCCAGCCAUGCCGCGUGCAGGAAGACGGUCCUAUGGAUUGUAAACUGCUUUUGUACAGGAAGAAACACUCCCUCGUGAGGGAGCUUGACGGUACUGUAAGAAUAAGGAUCGGCUAACUCCGUGCCAGCAGCCGCCGUAAAAC
rnacentral:rRNA from 1 species